AAAUUUCCACCAACAUAGUUUAUUAGAUAUAAAGAGAUGGCAAAGUUUUCAUUCAAUUUGUUUAUAUUUGCUGUCAUCUUAAUCUUUGCAACUCACUCAGAGAUGAUGGCGGAGGCAAGAGGACCUGUUAUUUCGUGUAGAUGCAGCAAAACCGAAGACUGUCAGGGUAUUUGUGCCGUGUGCCCCAACUAUAGCUGCAUUAAUAACCUUUGUACUUGCCUUUCAAACGCACCUCCAUUUCCAUAGUCUUAGAAUCUACACACUCCAACAGUUGAAUGAAAUGGUGGGAUUUUUUUGUGUAAUUUUAAAUAAAUUAUCAUGCAAUGGAUCUAAUAAGAAAAAAUAUUGUAAUUAUUGUAAUUUUCAA